rnacentral:rRNA from 1 species
AGAGUUUGAUCCUGGCUCAGGAUGAACGCUAGCGGCUGUGCCUAACACAUGUCAACGUCAGAGACGUGAACGGGGUACUUGUAUCCCUGAAAGUGGUCGGACGGGUGAGUAACGACGUAGCGUGCACCUGCCCUUGUAAGUGGGGGAUAACCAGCUGGAAAUCGGUGGCUAAUACCGCAUAGGUUGGUGGGAAUGGAGAUAUUGCAUAUCAACAAAGCUUUAGGUGCUUUGAGAUGCGGGCCUACGGCCGAUUAGCUAGUUGGUGAGGUAACGGCUCACCAAGGCGAUGAUCGGUAGCUGGUCUGAGAGGACGAUCAGCCACACGGGAACUGAGACACGGUCCCGACUCCUACGGGGGGCAGCAGUGAGGAAUAUUCGGCAAUGGGGGCAACCCUGACCGAGCAACGCCGCGUGGAGGAUGACGGUUUUUGGAUUGUAAACUCCUUUUCUCANGGAAGAGCGAGGACGGUACCUGAGGAAUAAGUCACGGCUAACUACGUGCCANCAGCCGCGGUAAUACGUAGGUGGCAAGCGUUAUCCGGAAUUACUGGGCGUUAAAGCGCACGCAGGUGUUGGUUAAGAUUGACGUGAAAGCGCCUGGCUUAACUGGGCGAGGUCGUUGAUACUGGCCGUACUUUAUUGCAGAGAAAGGGGUGUUAGAAUUCCCCGUUGUAUGUGGUUGGAAAUGCGNUAGAAUUUCGGGAGGAACUACCACAUUGGCNAAAGCCGNGACCCUGGCCUUGGCCCUGAACCCUCNGGUCCACAAACCCUUGGGGAGCCAACCGGGAUUAUAUUACCCCGGUAGUCCACGCUGUAAACGAUGAACACUAGGUGUAGGUGGUGUUCAAAACCAUCGGUACCGAAGCCAACGCGAUAAGUGUUCCGCCUGGGGAGUACGACCGCAAGGUUAAACUCAAAGGAAUUGACGGGGGCCCGCACGAGCAGCGGAGCGUGUGGUUUAAUUCGAUGCAACGCGAAAAACCUUACCUGGACUGGACGUGUCGGUAGUAGUGAAGUGAAAGCGGAACGACCCUUCGGGGAGCCGAUGCAGGUGCUGCAUGGCUGUCGUCAGCUCGUGUCGUGAGAUGUUGGGUUAAGUCCCGCAACGAGCGCAACCCCUGUCGCCAGUUAUACGUGUCUGGCGAGACCGCCGCUAUCAAAGCGGAGGAAGGUGGGGAUGACGUCAAGUCAGCAUGGCCUUUAUGUCCAGGGCGACACACACGCUACAAUGGCCAGUACAAUGGGUAGCCAACGGGCGACCGGGAGCCAAUCCCAUCAAAGCUGGUCGUAGUUCAGAUUGUAGGCUGCAACCCGCCUACAUGAAGCCGGAGUUGCUAGUAAACGCAGGUCAGCAUUACUGCGUUGAAUACGUUCCCGGGCCUUGUACACACCGCCCGUCACGUCAUGGGAGUUGGUAACACCUGAAGUCGGUGACCUAACCGCAAGGGAGGAGCUGCCUAGGGUGGGGCUGAUGACUGGGACGAAGUCGUACAAGGUAGCCGUACCGGAAGGUGUGGCUUGGAUCACCUCC